rnacentral:rRNA from 1 species
UACAGAGGUCUCAAGCGUUGUUCGGAUUCAUUGGGCGUAAAGGGUGCGUAGGCGGCGGGGUAAGUCGGGUGUGAAAUCUCAGGGCUCAACCCUGAAACUGCACUCGAUACUGCUCUGCUUGAGGACUGGAGAGGAGACUGGAAUUCACGGUGUAGCAGUGAAAUGCGUAGAUAUCGUGAGGAAGACCAGUGGCGAAGGCGGGUCUCUGGACAGUUCCUGACGCUGAGGCGCGAAAGGCCAGGG